UGGGGAAUAUUGGACAAUGGGCGAAAGCCUGAUCCAGCCAUGCCGCGUGUGUGAAGAAGGUCUUCGGAUAGCAAAGCACUUUAAGUUGGGAGGAAGGGCAGUAAGCGAAUACCUUGCUGUUUUGACGUUACCGACAGAAUAAGCACUGGCUAACUCUGUGCCAGUAGCCGCGGUAAUACAGAGGGUGUAAGAGUUAAUCGGAAUUACUGGGCGUAAAGCGAGCGUAGGUGGUUCGUUAAGUUGAAUGUGAAAGCCCCGGGCUCAGCCUGGGAACUGCAUCCAAAACUGGCGAGCUAGAGUAGGGCAGAGGGGGGUAGAAUUUCCUGUGUAGCGGUGAAAUGCGUAGAUAUAGGAAGGAACACCAGUGGCGAAGGCGACCACCUGGGCUCAUACUGACACUGAGGUGCGAAAGCGUGGGGAGCAAACAGG
rnacentral:rRNA from 1 species